rnacentral:rRNA from 1 species
GACCUGCGGAAGGAUCAUUUA